GUUUCUUCUCAGAAGAGAGCCACUGUAUGGAUUGGCCACUUCCAGUGUGCUAGAGGGGCAAUGAAACCCCAGAAGGUUGAAAAGGGAAGACAGACUGGGCUUCAGGCAAGAUAUCGAGAUUAGAUAAAUUUGUCCUCAGGUGCACCCAGUUUCUCUCUUCCGUGGCCUUUUCACCCUUCUCUUCCUCUGCCUUCAUAUGCACUCCUUCAGAUGACACAACUGAGUGUGAGUGAUUAAGUGAUUUGUCUGAAGGUGUACUCAAAGCAAGUAGAAGAUUUGGGACUUAAAUUUUGAAUCCAAAUCUACCAUUCCUUUCUUUUCAUCCUCACAACAGGUGGGAAGGAAAGGAAAAGUAAUCUGUCUUCAACAUGAAAAGGAAUCAAAGACCUAUAAGAAGCACAAUGAUCUCAUUUGUGAUGAGGGAGAGGGAAUUAUAAAAUUCUGGUCUCUGAAGCACCACCAAUCAUACCUGGGGCAGCAGCAUGAAAGGUGACUUCCAGAAGAAAUCUCAGACAUCAAGACACAAGACUCGAAUGGGGAAGAGAUGCUGGGAUACAGUGCUAUAAAGGGAGAGGCUGAUAGUUCAAAACAAGUCCCCAUGGGCUGAGAUCAUUGGAACACUAAAAGAGAGGCAUUGAGGGAGGCUACAUCUGUGGAGCAGGGUGGAGUGGGGGCAGUAUGAUACUGAUAAAUGUCUAACAACAAGCUUCCCUCUCCCCCCCAAAAAAAGUAUACAGGACACCCUUUAAAAAUUUUUUUUUGCAGGGUAAUGAGGGUUAAGUGACUUA